rnacentral:sRNA from 1 species
UGGUUUCAGAUUCAGGUGGACAAAGGACAAGUGAUAAAAUCCAAGAAUAUCCACAGAUCACUGCCCAAAGCGGAAGACUGAUUGAAAAAAGAUCCUAAUAGAGUUUCUGAAAUACUUUGGAAAAGUCUCCCAAACCUUCAGAGAGUGGAUGGGAGCGAAGUAAGGAGACCCCACCUGAGCAGAUACAUGCUCAGAGAAGAAACGAUCUAGCCCUGCUAUUUCAGAUCUUUCACAGAUCCUUAAGUCUCAAGAUGAAUCAGCAUUUUUAGAGAGUUCAAAUGAAGUUUCAGUUGCUGAAAACCAAUCCUAUAAAUCUCCAUCAGAGACCCAUGAUAAAUCACUUACAACAGUAUCAUCCAGCAAAGAAGUUCAAGAUUCGCUGUCUGUUGGAACAUUGGCUCACAAAAACGAAGCACUGAUAUCAGCAUUCAUUUUACCUCCUGUUCUUACAGAAAGUAAAAAGGCUGAUGUUUCAGAAGAACAAUUACAAAAGAUGACUGAAGAACAAACUUACCAAGCAGCAGAAAAAUCUCAAGAAUUCCCUUUAUCACUCAUAAUGAAGUACCAAAUGAAAGGCUUGUAGUUGAGCAUCAAGAAUCAUUGUCAAAAACCAAAUUGCAAGUAAAGAAACAAGAAAAUUCUACAGAGCAACCACUCACCACUCCUGAUGAAGAACCAGAUGAAAAUCUUAUACUUAGGCAUCAAGACUCAAUGUCAAAAUCAGAAAUGCAAGUGAAGGAACAAAGAACUCUCAAAGGGCAAAGAAUUACUACUCAUGAUGAAGAACCAGGCAAAAAUCUUGUGCUUGAACAUCAAGAUUCAGUGUCAAAACUGGAAAUGCAAAUUGAAAAAACCAAAAAACUUCCUAGAGAGAAAAGACAUAGUACUCAUGAUGAAGAAUCAGGUGAAAAUCUUAUGCUUAAACAUCAAGAUUCAGUGUCAAAAAUCCAAGUGCAAUUAGAGAAUCAAGAAACUUCUGAAGGAGAAGGACGUAGCAUACCAGAUAAAAAUUCUAUGUUUGUUCAUCAAGAUUCAGUGUCAAAACUCCAAAUGCAAGAAAAGAAAAAAAUAACUCCUGGAAGGGAAAGGCGUAAUACUCAUAUUGUAGUACCAAAUGAAAAUGUGAUUUCUGUUCAUCAAGAUUCAAAGUCAAAACUCCAAAUGCAAGAAAAGAAACAAAUAAAUUCUGGAGUGGAAAGACACAAAAUGUUUCCUUUAGAAAUCCAAAAAAAGGAUAUAUCACUUGAACAUCUGUUGCCUGAGGAGAAAGUUUUAUUAUCAAGAAGCAAAUCUCAAACCAAGAAACUUCAAACUAAAGUAACUUCAAGAAAAAUUAAAAAUGAAGCAGCCUCAGAACUUCCAGAUACAGCAGAAAAUCUUCCAGCAGUGUACCCAUCAAUUAGCGACCUAAUAAUUCAAUUUGAUUUAAACAAAGUGGUUGAGACUGUCUUAAAACACUUGAAAGGUGUUAAUGGAAAAGAUAUAAUAGAGCAUCUAAUCAACAUACAGUCAAAGAGUCAUGCAGAGACUGAUAAGAACUUCUUUGCCUAUGCUAUUGGAAGAGGUCUAAUGAAGGAGUCAACCACGACACGAUUAAAAAGUCACCCAGAGACUGAUAAGGAAUUCUUGGCAGAUGCUAUUGGAAGAGGUAUAAUAAUAGGGCCAAUCACUACACAACUGAAGAGUCACCGAGUUGGAAGACAUAUAAUAAAGGGACCAAUCAAUGCACAAUUAAAGAGUCACCAGGAGACUGAUGUAGAACCCUUGACAAAUGCCAUUGGUUCAAAUAAAACAAUUGGUGAGAUAAAGACACAACUAAGGACUCACUAUGAUGUGAACUUAUUUAAAAACAAAGAUAUGUCCGUACAACGUCAAGAAGGUAUCUUUACUAGGAGCAUUACACCAAGUAAAUUCCCAACAAAAGUGAUCAAUUUAUCACCCUUUGAAAAUAAAGAGGAAACUUAUGAGUACUCUUCACCCUAUGUGACUGCACCUUCAAAAGCAAUUUAUAGAACAUAUAGGGCUGAUCCAAGCUUUUCUAAAGACAUCCACCUUCCUUUACCGAAUCAACUCCCUUCAGGGCAUUCGAAAGUUGUUACCUUAAGCCAAAAAACUAUUGAAUUUACUCUGCCUACUGUGACCAAUACAAUUGGAAAACCUACCUAUAAAGUGUUAGAUGCUGCUACCCGAAAAUCUGUACCACACCCAUACUUUUGAGAAUGAAGGAAAUUCUGAGCAAGAUAAGCAACAUGACAAAUUCAGAAAUGCAGGAAAGGAAAUUGCAAAUAUAGAAGCCUUUUGAAAAUAACACUGACUCGUGUGGAUGGUGCUUAUUGAAAAACAGCUGGAAAUACAGUGGAUCAACAGGGUAGGCCCA